GUUCUCACUUCGGGCAGCACAUAUACUAAAAUCGGAAUGAUGCAGAGAAGAUUAGCAUGGCCCCUGUGCAAGGAUGACAUGCAAAUUCGUGAAGUGUUCCAUAUUUUU
rnacentral:snRNA from 1 species